AGGUUCUCUAUGCACCACCAUGGUGUUUUGUUUUUGAGAGCGUGGGGAGGAGCAGAUAGCACGUGCAGCCUUGUUUCUUCAGUAUCAACAAGAAGCAACUCAGUUCAUCCUGUCAGAGGGAGAGCAGUUGGCGUAACUUAUCCAGCAGAACAGCUGAUACUGUGAAAUGUAUCUGAGAAUUAGUCAAACAGACCAAGAUUUCAUUCCAGGAAACGGCUGAGGCACUUUGCUGAAACUCUGCAAAAUAAUUAAAUAAAAGAUUCAGCCAAAGAGAGACACCUGGCUUGGAAAACUUCCCCCUCCACACAUCUGACAAAACGAUAAACAGAUGAAAAGCAGGAUUUUUUGAACAGAAGAAGAAAGCUGUUUCUGGAGCAUAUCCCUUUGUUCUGCAAGGCACAGGAUCGUGUACACAGCAGCAGGAGGGGGCUCAGUUUCCUGCUGCUGCUCAUGGGAGGAGGACUUCCCACCCCAGGAAAGAGAAGACCAGGGGAAACUUGAGAAGGCUGCGAUGACACUGGAGGCACAGCUUCAGGGCUUUUAGCACUAUGCGUCACAUUCGUGUGACCCAUGACCAACAUGUAAUGUUGUGCCUGACGCACGUGAAGAGCUCUGCCUCUCUGGAGAGCGUCACAGAGGCUGCAGGGGUCCGGAGCUGGCAGCCCCCUGGGGCAGACGACAGCACCCUGUGACACCUGGUGCGUCAUCUGCAGCUGAGCUCCCAGUAAGGUCAGGCAGGAGACUGAUAAAUGACCCCACCUUGUCAACACCACCGUCAUUAGUGCUGUUAUCACCCUGCGAAUGGGAACGUGAAGGAAUUCAUAUCCCUGCCCUUGCCAAAGCUGGAGAGCAAGUGGGAACAGGAGCUGUGGAGGUGACUGUUCACACCACUUACAUUCUCCUGCAAAGCAGCAC
ensembl:lncRNA